GUGCCAGCAGCCGCGGUAAGACGUACCACCCGAACGUUAUUCGGAUUCACUGGGCUUACAGAGUCCGUAGGCGGUCGAGAAAGUUGGAUGUGAAAUACCUCAGCUCAACUGAGGAAUUGCGUUCAAAACUACUUGGCUAGAGAGAUACAGAGGUGAGCGGAACUGAUGGUGGAGCGGUGAAAUGCGUUGAUAUCAUCAGGAACACCGGUGGCGAAAGCGGCUCACUGGGUAUCUUCUGACGCUGAGGGACGAAAGCUAGGGGAGCGAACGGGAUUAGAAACCCUCGUAGUCC
rnacentral:rRNA from 1 species